rnacentral:lncRNA from 1 species
GAGGGGCACUUAGCGUGGUCACCUCAUGGAGUCCUUGUCAGAGUGCAGGAGCCCGGCGUCCCUCUCUGCGGUGCCUGGCCUUGCCCUGCCACCUCACAGACAGCCUUGUACUGUUUGAGAACAGGGCAUGUGGCGGUCCUGUCCUCCUCCCUUCCCGGCUUCACCCUCUUCUCAGCUUCUGCCUGGUGCUGAGGAGCUGGCCGCAUGCACUGCCACCAUGCCUUCCUGCGCUCUGCCUGCUUCCCAGUGGCUCUGGCCAGCGAGACCCUCAUGGAGGUGGGAGGGCUCCUUGGUUACCUCCCCAGUAGGAGCAGCUACUCUGCAGAUUUUCCUGCCUGAAUCCCUGCUCACCCCCUGGGGGCUGUCAUCCCGGACCCUCUCUUCCCAAGGUGGCUCUCCAGAGUCGGCUAUACCUAGCCCAGUGGAGUCCUGGAACAAGUUCUGUCAUUUCAGAUUCCUGGUGGCCUAAUUCCGCAGCCGGGGAGGGACAUUGAGUUCUCUCAGACUCCUGAAGAGUGGGCUCCCUCCGCCCCAUCCUGAAGCUACCACAGCAGUAAUAAAUAAUGCUGUUAGUGUCUGCGUUUAUCUG